UCUGUUAUCCUUUUCAGGAUACGGAUUAAAAGGGAACCGGGUGGAAAUCCCGGACAGACCACGCUGCUGUGAAACUUCAGGAACAUACCGGCAAUACUUUAUGCCACUGACCAUUCAACUAAAUAGUCGGGAAGGUGCCGGGAUGGAAGUAAGUCAGAAGACCUACCGUUUCGAU
rnacentral:ncRNA from 1 species